GUUCUCAAAUUUUACUUGGUUCAAGCAAGUAUUGUGUCAUUUUAUCUCAAAGGUGAAACAUUGUCUAUUACCCAAACAAAACCCUAAUUUAGGCCAGGAUUCAGUGCUGAAUGAAUCUGCAAAAAAUCGCAAUCGAAAUUAAAGUAGUUAAUAGGUGGCAUCAUAAGUCCGAUUCACAGAAUUCCCAGCAAUUUUGAUUCAAAUCCAGUUCAGUUAAUUUGUGAGGUGAUCGAGCAGGAGUCGGUGCUCGAUGAUAACUCGCUCGAAACUCGUUGAACAACUCAGAGAUUACCAGGUCCGAUCCCAGCACAAGUGUCCCCCUCUUGCCGUCUUCUCCCCAAAACCCCUUCUUUCAACCUGGAGUGAUGUUGCACUUGCUGUUUCUUGGACCUUAUUAUUUAUUGCCCUCCUACUUUCAUCAUAUAUUACCCUUUACCUAAAACGCUACUUUGUUUCCUCCAUUAUACUAUGCCUUGGUAUCCUUCUUCCUAUACGUUUGAGAAUUCUGCGGCAGUCACUUGCUAGAAAGAGAGACAGAAGACUGAUGCUACCUCUAUCCAUGUGAGCAUCUUCCAAUAUAACGAAGCAUUUGAAAAUCCUUGCCCACAGUCAAACACGCUUUUCAGUUGCAUCCUAGAAAGCUCAAGGCCGCGACAUCGAUCAUUAGAACACACUUGGCUUACCUGUUGUUGGGAAUAUUGGAUGCCUCUGGUUCUGACCCUUUUGAGUCACACACGCUGGAUCAACGAGUAAUGAAAUCGCCCGGGAGAGACUCAAAAUAGCUAUAGCAAAAGUGGGAUUCUUGACUUCAGAUUUUGCAGUUUUUUUUAAAUUGUAAAUGUGUCUGAGGCGUGACUUUGGCCAUCGAUUUGAGUUCAUAGAUGUUAGUACUACUUUAAAAUUUCUCUACUUGGUAGUGGAUGAAGUCACAAUUUAAAGGAACGACUUCAGAUUGCACCAAAGUUAA